CGUCACUCAUUGGCACAUCAGUUAUCUCUGCCCUGCAGAGAGCCAAGGCGUCCUUCAGACAGGAAAUAGGAUCUUAGUGGGUGGCCGCCAAGAGCGCACAGACUUUGAAGCAGGAAAAGACAGUCUCUAGAGCAACAUGGAAAGGAUCCAGAAUCUAAAAUAUUCCUGGAAAUGGAGAGUCCUGACAUGAUGGCCCCAUGAUGAAAAGAACCCAGGUUCCUGAGUCACGACGUGGACAUGAGGCACCAAGGAGAAAACACGUGAACCUUAAUAAGUUUGGGAGCUUUGACAUUCUUCUGUCAAGUCA
rnacentral:lncRNA from 10 species